UGAUGGCGAUCGGCGCACGGGUGAGUAACACGUAUCCAACCUGCCGAUAACUCGGGGAUAGCCUUUCGAAAGAAAGAUUAAUACCCGAUGGUAUAAUAAAGCCGCAUGGUUUAAUUAUUAAAGAAUUUCGGUUAUCGAUGGGGAUGCGUUCCAUUAGGCAGUUGGUGAGGUAACGGCUCACCAAACCUUCGAUGGAUAGGGGUUCUGAGAGGAAGGUCCCCCACAUUGGAACUGAGACACGGUCCAA
rnacentral:rRNA from 1 species